rnacentral:rRNA from 1 species
GACGGAGGGUGCAAGCGUUGUUCGGAUUGACUGGGCGUAAAGGGCGUGUAGGCGGUCGGCCAAGUCUGAUGUGAAAGCCCGAGGCUCAGCCUCGGAAGUGCGUCGGAAACUAGUCGGCUGGAGCGCGAUAGAGGAGGGUGGAAUUCCUGGUGUAGCGGUGAAAUGCGUAGAUAUCGGAAGGAACAUCAGUGGCGAAAGCGACUUCCUGGUCCAGCAUCGACGUUCAGGCACGAAAGCGUGGGGAGCAAACAGG